AGAGUUUGAUCAUGGCUCAGAACGAACGCUGGCGGCAGGCUUAACACAUGCAAGUCGAACGCACCGCAAGGUGAGUGGCAGACGGGUGAGUAACGCGUGGGAACGUGCCCUUCAGUUCGGGAUAACCCAGGGAAACUUGGGCUAAUACCGGAUACGUGCGAGAGCAGAAAGAUUGAUCGCUGAAGGAUCGGCCCGCGUCUGAUUAGCUAGUUGGUAGGGUAAUGGCCUACCAAGGCGACGAUCAGUAGCUGGUCUGAGAGGAGGAUCAGCCACAUUGGGACUGAGACACGGCCCAAACUCCUACGGGAGGCAGCAGUGGGGAAUAUUGGACAAUGGGCGCAAGCCUGAUCCAGCCAUGCCGCGUGAGUGAUGAAGGCCUUAGGGUUGUAAAGCUCUUUCGGCGGGGACGAUAAUGACGGUACCCGCAGAAGAAGCCCCGGCUAACUUCGUGCCAGCAGCCGCGGUAAUACGAAGGGGGCUAGCGUUGUUCGGAAUCACUGGGCGUAAAGGGCGCGUAGGCGGCCUGAUAAGUCGGGGGUGAAAGCCUGUGGCUCAACCACAGAAUUGCCUUCGAUACUGUCGGGCUUGAGACCGGAAGAGGUAAGUGGAACUGCGAGUGUAGAGGUGAAAUUCGUAGAUAUUCGCAAGAACACCAGUGGCGAAGGCGGCUUACUGGUCCGGUUCUGACGCUGAGGCGCGAAAGCGUGGGGAGCAAACAGGAUUAGAUACCCUAGUAGUCC
rnacentral:rRNA from 1 species